UGCGGGGUAGAGCAGCGGUCAGCUCGUCGGUCUCAUAAGCCGGAGGUCAGUGGUUCGAAUCCACUCCCACGCAUCCA
rnacentral:tRNA from 1 species